GAAAUGUCAACUGCCAGUUUAACGUAGAAAAUAAAACGUGCAGUAUCGGGGCACAAAUACUACAGAACAGUAUUUUAAUUUUGCAGUACUUAUUUUUUAGACUGAUUUGCGCAGACGUUUGUGUCAAAAUAUCAAAAUAGCGCAAACUAUAAUACUGCAUGAACGUAUAGGCCGACCAAUAACCUGCAAUAACUCUCUAUUGUUUUUUUAUUGUUAUCAUAACCACAAAUUGACGUGUACACAAAUAAACAUACAUUUCUGUCUUUAACUGCAAAAAUUUCAAAGUUAGUGCUUGUGUAAUGGCCUUAUUGUGCACUCUUUUGAACUUAUUUGGUGUCAGUUGUUGUGCAAUGCUCUGACUGCGCCGGAAAGGCUCUGCUCUCCAAUACGUGUUGCUCUGUGUAUGGAACCUGAACAUCUAUUGUCGUCCACAAGUCGUUGUUCCCUUUGUUGGCGUACUCGGUGGUUGCUAUGGGAUCGCAUCCUAACCACGUCGCUUACCCGUCAUUAUCCACCACAGGAAUUUGAUCCACUGACAGUUGCCUCAUGAGCUGUACCGCCUUGUCAGCUGUCAUUGACGAAGUAGCCACCUGAAGGGUGGGCAGUUUGAGGUCGGCAAUUGUCUUGUACCACCACCUUCAAUCAAUGUCUUUGGCGGCUUCGAGUGCUGCCACCACAUUGGCUCCGCUUGAUGAGCCUGAAAUAUCCAGCUGUCUACAAUGGCAAUGAAUGAAAAAAUUGGAGCCUCACCGCAAAGCAAACCCUCUUCUUUAAUAAGCCGGCGCGCCAUGGGGAGCGAUUUGGAAUCGUGCGUUUUCACCCAUAUAUCCACCACAGAUCUAUCCAGAAUGGUAGGCAGGAAAUCGUAACCUAUCCGUAAAGUGAGGAAAGUAAAUCGAUGGAAAAAAUUAAUUUCAGAGUCUUGCCUAUGCCCUCUACUUCGUAGAAAGUUACGUCUGUUUUGUUCAGAUCGUCGGGCAACGCCAAUACGGAGCCCUCGGGAUCGGCAGCCACAAUUUUCGUUUGGGGAGAAAUUUCUUUAAAUUUCCGUCCAAUGCCGCAAACAGUGCCACCCGUUCCGGCGCCGAUCACCUGCAAGACAAUCAAGCAUGAUCAACUACCGUAGAAUAGGUACGAGUUCCUCUUACAAUCAUAGCCACUUGCUGAUCGCAUUGAUCGAAAAUUUCUUCUGCGGUGGUGUCGUAGUGCGCCAAAGGAUUACCCGGAUUGGAGUACUGAAAAUGCCCCUUAGAUUGCUCCGAGAGCCCGAAGAGUGGACACCUUCUCGUUGGACAUUUUCUCGGACAUGACAACGAUGCACCGAUAACCUGAAGACAGCGAUUGCUCAGAGAAUGUAUACGUGAGACAGCUACGGCUCUCGAAAAUCUACCUUUCACGGCUGCGGCCAGCGCCAAGCCAAUGCCGGUGUUUCCAGAGGUCGGUUCAAUGAUGGUAUAGCCAGGCUUCAAGAGGCCUUGGCGCUCUGCGUCUUCGACCAUCCUGAACCCAAUGCGGUCCUUUACCGAACCACCUGGGUUGAAGUACUCGCACUUAACAUCUGCAAAUUGUAAACCACAAAACUUUUGUAGUCGGCGAAUUUAUUCGACUAUUGAACCACUUACAAAUAUUGGCUUUAAUUCCUGCA